GCUUAACGAGCUCUCUCUCACUCUGCCAAGGUUAAACCUAAAAAUGUUAGAUUGUAGUAAGAUUAACUUUUUCAAAAGUACAAUAAGACAGAUUUGACAGGGUUUUGCCACAGAUUAAUAGUUUGUCACUAGUUAGUAUAUGCCAACUAAGUAGAGCAUUGUGAUUGGCACAAAGGUUUUUCAGAUCUGGGCAGUUGGAGUCAGUUGAUGACUUCAAAAUCAUCCUUUCUGACUGGAUAAUUAAAGCUCUCAGCAUCUAUCGGUCUGUAGUUAAUUUUCCCACCUUUUAACUAACGUUUAACUAACCUAAUCUCAUUUAAUGUCUCUGUUUAUAGUCUGUAUAGUUUAUCUCCCCACGAAUACACUCAAAGUAGUCUUAAAAUAAAACCCACAAAACAGUUCAAGAUUUAAUACUUUUUAUUUGCUCAUUUAAUGCCAGUUGCCCUGUUUUUCUGUAUGUCACUCAUUCGCUUAUACUUGGGCAAAAAGGACCAAUUUGUACACUAGUAUAGUGUAUUUUUUCCCUCUAUCUCUCUAUGUCUGUCACACACAGAGACCAACACACAGACAUGUAUAUGCUCAUUAUUGCUGUUCAAACUGAUGGUCAAAUUUCCAAGCACCACCUGAACGCCUCAUCUGUUUUUAACCUAUCACUGGACCAACUGUCGUCAUUCCGCUUUGCUCUCUGCUGUGGAACCUGACUGACACUGUGCUUUGCCUGAGUGUGUAGAAGAAGAAGAACAAGGACCAGAUCUCCAGUCUUCUCUCUCACAUCCCAACCCCCCAAC